AUUUGUUACUAUUCUUUCUUCUUUUCAAAUUGUAGCCUGUCUAAUAAAUGAGUAAUGGUACCUCACUAGGGCUCCAGUCUGUAUUUUCCUAAUGACUAAAAAUGUUCAGCAUAUUUUCAUGUCUUCUCAGGCUUGGGUAUAUUGUUGGUAAACUCUUUGCUCCAGUCUUUUGCCCAUUUAAAGAAAAAAGUGUUGUUUUCUUAUUGUGUUUCAGGAGUUCUGUAUACAGGAUUCACAUCUAUGUUUUGCAAAUAUUUUCUUGCAAUUCAUGGCUUGUCAUUUCAUUUUCUUCAUAGCAUCUUCCAAAGAGCAGGAGUCCUUAGUGUUGCUGUUUUUCCAGCACUGGGGAUUGAGACCGGGUGCCGGACCACUGCGCUUCUUCCCCAGCAUUCCUUGUUGUUCACUCUUAAUGGAACCUCAUGUCCUGUGUGAGGAACAGUUUCAUUGCUUUCUUCCCCAUCUGUGUGUCUUUAUUGGUUUUUCUUUGAGCUUUGACUAGGAAUGAUAGGAGUGGGCAUCUCUGCCAUGGGAUUCCUUUAGUAUGGCAAUCACUUAACUAAAGGCUCUUUCAGGAAGACUGGUGGGCAGCAUCAGUGGGGGAGGGGAAGCUGAAGACCCCGAGACAGCUGAACAGACAGAGGAGCCUGUCUGCUCAUCACCUCCCAUCCUUUUAGUCACCAGCCCACCACUGCCAUAUGUGGUUCCCUCCCACCUGUGACUCCUGUGCUUGGCCCUUAUUCCUCAGCCCUGUGGUCUGCCUGUCUUCUCCUCUCUCCAGCUUCUAGUAUCACCAUUGAGUUUGCCUGGCAGAUUUUACCCUUCCCCCAUCCUGUGGUUCUUCCAGCCCCAGGUCCGGCCAUACGCCAUUGCCCUUUCUCAUCUGCUCAGAGUGAGGCCCUCCAAGUCAAGGGUCCCCAAGUCUCAAGGAACCUAAAUGCAGUCUGCACUCUGGGAUUCUUCAGACAGGGCUCCUUUCCAUUACCGCAGCACCUAUUUCAGGCACUGAUCCCAUGCUCCAACUUUUACUCCUACCAUACUCCAUUCCAUUACUACAACUCCUCCUGGAGUCACUUGUUUGGUGGUUGGUGGCAAAGAGUCUGGUGAAGACCACAUAAGUUCAACUCCCAGCUGUAGAACUGACCAGCAGGGAGACCUUGGGUAUGCUACUUAGCCCCUGGUCACUCAAUUUCCCUAGGUGUAAAACAGGGAAUUGUGGGUUAAUUCAUGUAAACCACAUAGAACAGUGGCUGGUACCAAGAAGUGCCCUAUGUGCUGCUGUUACUAUUACUACCAUUCCUUCCCAUGGUCAUCUACACAUGUCUGUGCCUCUUCUUAAAAGCCAUACAAAUCCCACCCUUAGCACCCCAGGCCUCCACUCCACCUGUUAUACCUUCUGGGCCUUAUUUCCUGAAAGAGUUGACCUUGUUCACUAGCUCACCCUUCACUUCCUUGCCCAGGUCUGCCCAGCCCUUGCUGUCAGGAUGAUGCUCUCAUUAAUGGCCAAAGCCAGCAGACAUCUUCAGACUACUCUUUCAGGAUUGGACACAGCCUCUGAAACCAGAAGUAGCUGUCUCAGCUCUUAACUCUCUGGGCUUCUCCUCUUCACGUGCCUGGGUGCUGUGAGCUGGGUUGCCUAGAUGGUUCCCAUGAUACCCUCUCUAUGCUCUACCCUGUCCACUCCCCAUGGUGCUCAGGGCCAUGUGUUGCAGCUGCCCUCACCACUGAAAGUAGGCUGGCCAUGCUGUUUGCAGGGUGCUUUCCAUCCCCAGUGCAGUGACUGGGUUUUAUUUUUUGCUACUUGGUAAUGAACCCUGGGGCACUUUACCACUGAGCUACAUCCCCAGUCCCUGCUACAUUUUAUUGUAAAUCAGGGUCUCGCCAAUUUGCUGAGGCUGGUCUCAAACCUGCCUCAGUGUCCCAAUUCACUGGGAUUACAGGUGUGUGCCACCAUGCCUGGUUGGACAGAAGCAUUUUUGAUGCCCUGAAAUAUUUCUGAUGGGGGUGCAUCUCAGUGGUAGAGUGUGUGCUUAGCAUGUGCAAGGCCCUGAAUUCUUCAAUCACCAGCACACAAAGAGAAGACAUCUGAAUCAAUGAGUGAAGCCACAAACAGAAGAAUCAACAUUUGGGGAUAGAAGGAAAGAGAGAAAGGAACAGAGAGAAGCCUGGUGCCCUGAUCCCCCAGGAUAAGGGGAGAAGGAAAGGCAGCAGGAAGUUGGUCAGAUGAUGGGGCAAGAAGAAGAUGCUGCUGGAUUUUGGUCCUGUGGAGUGUGAGGGUGUUUGAGACACACAAUUGGAGCAAGAGCCCCAGGUGUGGAGCCAGUGGGAGAGGCUGGUCUGGGUGCCUCAGAGCUGUUGGAUUCCAGUUGUGUGUGAUAGUGUUCCAUGUUGGGAGAGGAAGGUAUUCA
rnacentral:lncRNA from 1 species